rnacentral:lncRNA from 1 species
AAAAUUUCUUCAAACAUUUUUUUGAGAGGAUUAAUAUUCAACAGCAUAGUGAAUUGCUCAAAGGCAAAAAAAAUAUUUUAAGUUCAUUAGAACCACAUUCAUUCUGUGUCAGAAACCUAUGCUGUGUCAACUAUUUAAUCACAAUCCAAAUUUAGAGCUGAAUCCAGCUUGAAUGUUGUGUCCAUACUUGCCCCAACCGUUCAGGGUUCAACCUCUGCGGUCGUAUAAAGCUGCGCCCUGCGAGCAUCUGGUUGUAUUUUCGUUUUCGUUUUUGCCAAUAUGCUUUGUCUAUAUGCAUUUUUGAUUUUUUUUUUAUAGUGAUUUAGACUAUAACACAAUGUUUACUGCUGUAUCCUUAUUUUUGACAAUUUUACCUUUUAUGUCUUUUUGCUUUGUUCACAUAUUCAAAGGCAGUAAAUACAGCUGUAUUAGCUGAAUUGGAAAUGCACCCUAUUGGUAUACAGGCCC